rnacentral:tRNA from 1 species
GCCCUUGUAGCUCAACGGAUGAGCAUCCGGCUACGAACCGGAAGGGUCCAGGUUCGAAUCCUGGCAGGGGCU